UGGGAGCAGUAGCAUCUUAGCUGCUUCCGGCCGCUGGUCGCAGGGCUGCGGGACUACAAUCUUCGCAUGAAAUGGAAGAGAGGGUGGUGCGGAUAGCUUGAGGAAGGUCUCGCAUCUGGGGCUCGAUCUCGUGCAGAGGAGCAUUUCCGAAGACACUGGCCGCUCCCACAAUGGCUCCGAAGAACCCAGCGACCAGCGGGUUCAUGAGUUUGUUGGGGCUGUCCACUCGGUACCAGCUGCGCAGGGAUGUCAGGACAAAGAAACAAGUUGCCUGGUUCCAGCCCUGCUUCAGCACGGGGCCUGUGGGGCCCCGGUAAGUCCCGGUGUUCCCGCACAAUCUCCUAACCCUGUGGAAGAAUCCCCUGUACUUGGAUUUGGAGAGGUCUGGCCAUGGAUUAACUUCACCUUGAUGGUCUCCAUGGGACAUAGGACCACCACGGCCUCGGCCACGCUAGCUCACUGGCCGCACCGCUGCCCGCCUUGCUGUUCACCAGUCCCUGGGCAUCCCGCAUCUGGUUGCUGAGGAACGCCUGACGCCGCCUUGUGGAUGAAGCCGCAGAGCAGGGAGCUGAGGCUGCGGCCCAGGCCCAGGCUGCCUUGGCUGCGACUGUGUGCCUGCAGGCCCCAUGCCCGGUAUCCGGUGGAUGCGAGUGCUAGUCCAGCUGCAGCUGCAUCUUCACGAACUCGGCUGGAGUGCAGUGGCGCGAUCUUGGCUCACUACAACCUGGAUUCAAGCGAUUCUCCUGCCUCAGCCUCCCGAGUAGCUGGGAUUACAGGCAUGUGCCACCAUUCCCGGCUAAUUUUUUUGUCUUUUUAGUAGAGACGGUGUUUCCCCAUGUUGGUCAGGCUGGUCUCAAACGCCUGACUCAGAUGAUCCGCCCGCCUCGGCCACCCAAAGUGCUGAGAUUACAGGCUUGAACCACCGCGCCUGGCCCUGUGAUGUAGAUUUUGAUGCUGCCAGCCAGGCUGCCUGCCGGGAUCGCCUGCCCUGGAGCAGGAGCAUCAGCCGUGCGUUCCAGGACGCAGGCAUGGCAUGACCGGCAGGAGGCGGAGUGCCCGGCGUCUCUUGGGAUCGGAGCCUCCUGAAUUCCACGCUGGGACCUUAAUUUGGUUUUAACACAAAUAAAGAUCUCACAUAAAGAUAAAAGGGGAUGUGUUGGCUUGUAAUUUUUGUUAAAAGCAAUGGUAUAUGUUGUAUAGGAUAGUGUAUUGGGAUCAACAGGUUUUUGGGGUUUUUUUUCAGCCCACUGACAUUGAAAGGGAUAAACAGUUUUUUGGUUAUUAGUGAGCAGUUUUCUCUCAGGCCAUAGUGUAGGGGUUUGUGGUCAUGUAGAUGAGAGAUAGGCUGGGAUUAAAAUUUGUUAUGGCAGUAAUAAGAGCAACAGAGCUAGACUCUGUCAAAAAAAAAAAAAACAUAGUUAGUAGAAGAAAAAAAUCAUAGGAUUAUAGGAUUAGAGCAGAAAAAAAUAAAACAAAAACUACAAAA
rnacentral:lncRNA from 1 species